GCGGGCCCGGCCCUGCACUUCCGCCCCGGUCCGGCCCUCCCCGACGGCCCGGGUGGCGGCAGGACCGAAAACUGAAUAUUUGGUCCCGUGGACUUUCUGGUCACCCUAUGAGGUAGAUUUACUUUGUCUUGAGUCGUGUGGAAGGACUCUGAAGUCACAAGUUUUUAAGACUCUCAGGCUUACUGUGGAUCUGGAUUCUAAGGCAACACUUCCUUGAAGAAACAAGCUUACAGCAGCUCUCGAGGGCGGCCACCUCGCCUGGAACCUCCGCAACUUCCGCACCCACCGCACAAGGGCUGAGAACAGUGAGGUAGGGGCUGUGCUGGGCUCAAGA
rnacentral:lncRNA from 1 species